rnacentral:rRNA from 1 species
AUUGAACGCUGGCGGCAUGCCUUACACAUGCAAGUCGAACGGCAGCGCGGGAGCAAUCCUGGCGGUGAGUGGCGAACGGGUGAGUAAUAUAUCGGAACAUGCCCAUUAGUGGGGGAUAGCCCGGCGAAAGCCGGAUUAAUACCGCAUACGACCUGAGGGUGAAAGCGGGGGAUCGCAAGACCUCGCGCUAUUGGAGCGGCCGAUAUCAGAUUAGCUAGUUGGUGGGGUAAAGGCCUACCAAGGCAACGAUCUGUAGUUGGUCUGAGAGGACGACCAGCCACACUGGGACUGAGACACGGCCCAGACUCCUACGGGAGGCAGCAGUGGGGAAUUUUGGACAAUGGGCGCAAGCCUGAUCCAGCAAUGCCGCGUGCAGGAAGAAGGCCUUCGGGUUGUAAACUGCUUUUGUCAGGGAAGAAAUCCUUUGGGCUAAUACCUCGGAGGGAUGACGGUACCUGAAGAAUAAGCACCGGCUAACUACGUGCCAGCCGCCGCGGUAA